GGGGAGGCCUGCCUUUUGCUUGGAAGGGUGACAAGAGGAGGAGCGUCGGUCACCCCGGGAGGAGGGGGACAAGAUGCGCGAGAGACAGGAAAGGCGGAGAUUUGCAGAAGGGAAAGGAGGAAAUGCUACAUCCAGUGAAUGCCUUUCCCUAGCUGUCUGAAAUGGUGUAGCUCAAAUCCAAAGCACGCAUCUAGGCAUUCACAAGAACUUUGAGGAUCACAGAAAUAUCAUCAUCAUCAUCAUAUCAUCAUCAUCAUCUUAAGGCUAUCUACAUUGAGAGGAAAGGAUGAGUAACAUUGACACAGGAGAAGCAUGGAAGGCCACCUUAAUGCAGUUCAGAACUACAAAAUUUUAUGUUAAGCGUCCUCUUGUAUGAAAGACAGGACUACCAUUCUUACUUUGGAUUAAAAAUAGAUGCUUUUGCCCUAUGAACCUUCAAGCCUCUUUUUCAAACAAACUGAUUUUUCUUUUGAUUAGCUGGAAAGGAAACGGCACAUCCAGGAGGAAUGCACAUCAAAGGGAACUCUCUAAAUGAUGCAGAAAUGCAUAAAACAACAAACAAGGCCAGCAGGGAAGAGAGCGAUGCCAUAAGUGUCUAUGUCUUCAUAUUACAAUGAAAGCCAGCUUGCCGAAGAACUGCAAGAUGAGAACUAAAACUCUUCUUGAGUCUGAUGCUUUGCUAGAAAUUUAAUGAUCAUUCCCUCUGCUGCCAGAGAGAUGCAUAAUGCCCCUCUGAAAGGAAUGGCAGGGCUGUGUAGCUGAACUUUUGCAUUUUCUCCCAAGGAUCAGUCUUACCAUAUCAUUCCAAGGAAUUUUUCUAUGGUGGUUUUCUAUGUGACAUCACUUCCUUUGGAACACACAUGAGCAACCUACUCGUAAUGAUUUUCAAGGAGGGCUUGUGUGAGCCUCAUUCAGCUUUAGAGGCCAAAGCAUUCUAGCUGUGGGACAAUUGGGUCCUGGGGUGGGGGUGGGGGGCUUUUCCCUACCAGCCAUUUUUCAGUAUUGUAUUUCUUUCUUUUCCACACAGGAGAAUAGCAAUAUUAAAUCUCUCUGAGAAGUGGAGUCAUAAUCAUGCUCCUAUCAUAAUCCUGUAUAAACUGAGCCAGGAAUAAACUUCAUUGAAUCCACAGGGGCAUUACUUCUGAACAGAUAUGCAAAAGAUUGGACAGCCAAGUUCAUUAUGAGGGGCAUUAUGUGGAAGAAUACCAUGUUAUGAGCUGCACCCAGUCUACCAUGGUGGAUAAUACUGUAUUCAGAAUGACACACAAAGAUCUAAGGCUACAGGUCCCCAUUUGGGGGAUAAUUGGUUAAUUUAUCACUGCAUGAAAUUGUGACUUCUCGGUCACUAUUGAGAUUGUUCUAGUGCUAAUACUGGUCCUCAGGCGUUUUCGUGAAGAUGUAGGACCUCCAGUGCCACUCCCUGCCUUUUUAGUUUCCACAGACCCUCUAGUUUAUUUCUGGGAAGAGCAAUAUUGCUUUAGCAAACAGAAUGUAAGAGCUGGGGACCAGAGAUAUUGGACUGAAUCCUGUUUCAGUCAAAUGAACUUAAUUGCCACAGAAAUCAUGAGUGGCUCAUCCCCUGGAUGUCAACAGAAUCUAAAUCCUGAUAAUUUAACCUGAAUCCAACCCAUUUUUAAAAAACAUAAAGUGUAACUGGAUUCUUACAGUUGAGGACUCCUUUCAUAACUGCCCCUUUCGCCAAAUGUUUUAGCAUGCCGUUAAUUUGUAAAAUCUCCUUGCCCCAAGACUCGUAAGCAUUCCUCUUCCCUGCUGCUUUAUGCUAUAGCUGUAUUAAAAGAAGAUUCUGGAUAUGAGCUAAAUUCACAGGAGCCAGGAGAGACAAAUCAGCAUAAAAUCUGCCAUUACUAAAGGUAGAACAUGCCUCCAAGCAUGGCUGUCUGAUGAAAGCAAAGGUUACAUAGACUAUUAUUGUAACCUAGAAAGUCUGCACCAUAAAAGGAUCUGACAAUUUUAUGGGUGUUUCCCUUUCCUUGUAUAAAUCUCCCUGUUUUCUUGGCAGAAAAAGUGAACACUCUUGACUCUUCUGGUUUUUAAAAAAGAAGGUAUUCCUGUAUAUUUUCCUCUAGAAUUUUCCAGCUGGAGGAGGUGGGGAGAGUUAUUUAUCCAAAAUGCCCAGUGGCUUCCCCCAUAAAUUUUAUCCUCAUUUUCCCACUAGCAAUUCCAUUCUUCCAGUCUGUACUUCACUGGUGAAUUUAGGGUGACAAACAAUUAAUGGGAUGCACAAGCGUCAAACAAAAGGCAGAAAAGGCACACCGCUGCUGGGAAAGCACGAAGAGUGGAGUAAUGUGAUUAUGGUAAUGAUCAACAAGUCAUCGUCUGCUGCUUUUGUUCACUGUAAUUAACUUCUUGGAAGGGCACGGUGGUUUUCCCUGUGUUCAUCAGCUGGCCCUGUCUUUGUGCCACCCCC